UACCAGCACCCCGAGUGGUCGGGACGAUUAUUGGGCCUAAAGCAUCCGUAGCCGGCCUUACAAGUCCUCCGUUAAAUCCAGCUGCUUAACAGAUGGGCUGCGGAGGAUACUAUAAGACUAGGAGGCAGGAGAGGCAAGCGGUACUCAGUGGGUAGGGGUAAAAUCCGUUGAUCCAUUGAAGACCACCAGUGGCGAAGGCGGCUUGCCAGAAUGCGCCCGACGGUGAGGGAUGAAAGCUGGGGGAGCAAACCGG
rnacentral:rRNA from 1 species